AUAUUUGACUUGGUUCAACAUGCAGUAGUAGGUAGGAGCUGGGCUUACCAGGACUGCGAGUCCAGCGGCUCAUUGUUCUCAUCUUUUCACCUCAAAAAUCCAUGCUACACUUUGGGGCCAUGGAUGCAGUGUUAGAGUGAUGGUGAAAUCCCACUGUUUGGUCAGAUAAGAGAAGCCUGAGGCUGUGGGCUUUACUGCUACUGGACUAAAUACAUAUCAUACAGAACCAGGAAAAGUAGGCAAAAUUUUCUGUGAUACCUGUGGAAAACAGUAUUCAUCAAAAAAGUCUUUGUCGGCACACCGACACCAUCAGCACAGGA
rnacentral:lncRNA from 1 species